AGUGAACGCUGGCGGUAGGCCUAACACAUGCAAGUAGAACGGCAGCACAGUAAGAGCUUGCUCUUACGGGUGGCGAGUGGCGGACGGGUGAGGAAUACAUCGGAAUCUACUUUUUCGUGGGGGAUAACGUAGGGAAACUUACGCUAAUACCGCAUACGACCUACGGGUGAAAGCAGGGGAUCUUAGGACCUUGCGCGAUUGAAUGAGCCGAUGUCGGAUUAGCUAGUUGGCGGGGUAAAGGCCCACCAAGGCGACGAUCCGUAGCUGGUCUGAGAGGAUGAUCAGCCACACUGGAACUGAGACACGGUCCAGACUCCUACGGGAGGCAGCAGUGGGGAAUAUUGGACAAUGGGCGCAAGCCUGAUCCAGCCAUACCGCGUGGGUGAAGAAGGCCUUCGGGUUGUAAAGCCCUUUUGUUGGGAAAGAAAAGCAGCAGGUUAAUACCCCGCUGUUCUGACGGUACCCAAAGAAUAAGCACCGGCUAACUUCGUG
rnacentral:rRNA from 1 species